ensembl:lncRNA
CUAGCCUUCAACCAGCCUAUGUGUCCGUCUCCCGCUUCCCUCUGUUGGAUGUAUUACAUGUAUAACCGCCGCCGCCGCCGCUACUGCUAACUGCUGCUGCGAUCUGACAAAGGAGAGGCUGUGGCUACGCCCGGGGGGCUGAUGAUGAUGAUGGUGAGGGGGUUGAGAGGAAGAAGGGGACUUUGAAAGGGCGGGGGGGGGGGGGAACCAGCGGCCAGUGACCUUGAUGGAUUUUUAUAGCGUUUCGGAAGUGUCAUCAUGUGCCCCCCUCUCCACUGUCCUCCUGUCCUCCUGUCUGUCUGUCUGUCUGUCUGUCUGUCUGUCUGUCUGUCUCAGCUCAUGUUAUUUGGAGGGGAAGAAAUCCAUGAAUCCCACUACAGUGUGCAGCCGUAGGAUUCAUUACUGAAAGAACAGAUUCCUUACCCCGGAUGGGACCAAAGACACCAGGGAGCGAGUUACUCACGUUAACGCUGGGAAGAACCUUGUACCGCAAUAUUAUGACACUUUUUCGUUAUUAAAGUAUAACACGCUAGCACACAUGCAUUCAUGAACAGCAUGGCAGAAACAGAUGUAAAAACACAUGCUACUUCCAGUGUCUUACCAUAGCGGCAUAUCUUAAACCCAUAUGUAAACCCCUGUGUGUGUAUGUGUAUGACCUAAUGCUGCAUAUAUGGUCGGGGACUAUUUAUGGAGAAUGUCUGCAUGUUCCGGAAGUGGAGUAUGUUCCUAAAUUAGGAGCAGUAUGUAGGAGUGUGUCUGGGAAUGCACUGGCUCCCUUUUACAAAAAGGGCCCAUUUGGCCUCAUAGUAAAGGACCAGAAGGCAGAUUCUUCAUUAGGCCGUCAUCUUAACAUUACGCGUGCUCCAUUUAGUUUUAACAAGCUAUUUUGAAUACUUUUCGGUAAUUUGUUUCCUGUUGUUUGGCCAUUCCUUUCCCUUCCUCAAAUUUGAACACUUCUGUUGCUCUUCAGCGGAAUGCAGUGUGUAUUUUCUCUUCUGAGGGGGUGGACUUCAUUAAUCACUUUGCGACCCAUGGUGCUUGAUUCACGUUCGGUUGCGGGCUGUGCUUCCUUACUGCAAUACGAUUCAAAGGAACGCAGACAAAUCUUUCCGGAAGUGACUGUUGGAACCAGGUGUACCAGCAGCAAACCUAGCCUGGAAAGGCUGACCUUAAUCCGCGUAACAACACCAGUCUGUGCUGUGAAAGGACCCGUUCAGCCGUGCAUCAUCGCACCCUCAGGAGGAGUCCAUCUUGGAACCCCCCCCUUGUGAGUUCACCUCGAGAUGCGACUGGGUUCGCCGUGCGAAUCGUCUUAACAUUGCUCCUUAAAAAAAAAGUGUAUAUAUCUAUAUAUAUCUAUAUCUAAUAGAGGUGUAUUAUUUUGUUACGGAAUCCAACUUUAAUUUUUGCUUGGUGGGCUACAGACUCAUUUCUCUCUAGCUACAAUUCGGCUGGAGACCUUGUAACCGUUUGGGGGUGCCAUGGAAACAAUUGUAGUAUGAAACCUUGUGUAAAGUAUUUUACGGUCGACGUAGAAGAUAUUAUUGAGAUGUGAGCGCUUACGUUUGUAUUCAUCCAGCAAAGUUCAACUGGUCUCUUAAGUAAAAACAUUAUCUGCUCUUUUUUUUUUAUCUCAGACUUAUAAAAAUGUAAAUAGGAAGUCAGAACAAACGUUCAUCUCUUGACCAGAAACUCAUGUAUGGUAAGGAGGGCCACAUUAUUCUUCUGAGACGCAUCUGGUAAUGACUAUUGCUUGAUGGCAUGAAUUUGCAGUGGCUAAAUCAGCAGCUAUCCACUUCCACUUCAUUAUGUGGGACAGCAAAAGCAAUAGUGAAUAUAGGUGGGAGGCUCCAGAGUAGUGGAAAGGCCUGAUUUUUAUCCUGCAUUUCUGCUGUCGUCGAUUAUUAUUAUUAUUUUUUACGCUUUUGUGUUCAGACCUGUUUUAUCACAUUUCAUAAUUUCUUGACCUGAUCCAUAAAGUUUGAGGUAGUCAUAUCAAUCAAUUGAUCACAUCGAUCAAUACGAAAUCCACCCAAUCCAUCCAACCAACCAUGACCCGGCGAUUACAUUUUAGUAAUUAGUCCUUGUUUUUUUUUACAAAUUAUGAGAAAACCAAACAAGUUAAGUUAUACUUCCCAAUGUUCCUAUUUUAUAUUCCGUCUCCAAUUACUCAUGUUAUGUCAUUGAUUCCUCCUCCUUCCCUCUAUAACAGAUUAGUGCCUUGAGUUUCAACUGGUGGACUCUCAGCCAGUAUACUGGGCUAUAUCAGUUGUGUUGAACUCCACUACUUGCUGUAUUGUAUGACAUGAAUGUUGAUAAGGCUUGAACGGUGUGAUAUUGUAAUUAAUACUCCUUUAUUAUUUAUUAUUUCAGCAGUUUUUUUGGACCCAAGUGUAGAGAAUGUUUUUCACCAAGAAAAUCCCAGAGUAUUGUAUUUUAAGCCAAACUUAACAAAAAAUACAUUCCCGUAAAACGAUUGUAGACUGCACCUCACUUUUGAUUUGUUUAAAUAAAGUUGCUUUAUAGCCUUGGGUGGCGUGGUGAUAUUGGAGUUUUGUACAGAGAGAGAACAGCCAUAGUGUCGGAGCCCCCUUCUGUUCUGGACUUCUGAAUGAGCGAGACUUCCACUGCUCUGUCCAUCUUUAUGCCUCCUUCCCCUCAUUCUAUCUUUCCGUCUCCUCUCUUCUCCAUGAGGAAUACGUUUGCUUCUCAGUGAGGACAGUACAAUAGUUUAGACAGGCUUUCUGAAAGCAGUUGGCAGGGAGGUGGGGGGGCUGUUCCAAGAGAAAGUGACAGACUGCUCCCCCCGGGUUCUCAGGAAAGGUCAGAGGUCAAGGCUGCAUCUAAUUCUGCCUUGUUUUUCGUUUUUUUUCUUUUCCUUUUGAAGGAGAGGAAGACGGCUUGACAGUGAUGUUGUCCCCUUGAGGCAAAUUCGACGUGCAGGAAGAUAUCCGCUGUCUCGUUCAGACCGUUUAAAAUGCAUGAGGUGAUUGUCCAUGAGUGUGUUGUAUUAAUGGACGUUGUUCAAGUGUCCGCAAAGGGGAACCCAUCUAACCUCUUCACACGUGGCGGAGGAAUUAGAUAGCCUGGAGGUCCAAUGGGAGUUAGCGUGUCUGGAUAUGGGGUUUCUGGUUCUUUCGGUGGUACCGGUAGUACAUAUAGAUGCUUAGCAGACCUAGCCAUGCCUCUUCUCAGAACCCUCUCUUCCUGGUACCAAAUGAACCCCACAUCCUCACCACCCCCCCUAUACCAUGUCUCCUCACAUUGUAUUUUUAAUGUCCCCCACUCAUCCUCCCACUCAUACCUCAGAGGAGAGUCUUAAACGAGAGGUGGAGGUGGGGGGGCCAGCCAGCUGUUGGAAGCCGCAGGUUUUAUGGAGGCGUUGCAGGGGGUCCCCUCUAAAGAACGCAUGGCGUCGUCAUUUUGUUUUUGAAGACAAAGGCCGGAACCCCCUCCACUGUUGUGUUAGGGUUAGGGUUAUGCACCAUCACUGUUCAGUGCUCCAGGUCCAAAGAACUGAACCGUCCUAUCUAUCGCUACCUUUAAACCAGCGCUACCUUGCUGUGAAGAGGGUGCCCUUGGGCUUAACUUGACCAGGUCUCACUGAGAUCAAGCUGUAGUCUGGGUCAACCAGCCUGAAUACUAAGCUAUAUUCCAUCCUGACUAGAAUCCAUACUUCCCAUCGUUUUUCAUCUCAUUCUCUCAUAGCAGCGGACGGGACUUUACAACGGUUAAAUGCAUUGAUCAUCAGGUUUAGAGGAGAUCGUGGCUCAGGGGAACCAUCUAUAGAGGCAGCUGGGUGAUUUGGUAGGAGACUGUGCUCACAAUGUCGCCGACUUGUGCUUUGUUGUGAGACUUGUGUCAGCUUAGCGAUCGAUAUGAACACGGGCAAUAGGGCUCAUUAGGAGUUUUAUCUUGAAGGUAAGGCGGGUCAUGAUGAAUGGGAGCGAGAGAACAAACUUUCCUUUCCGGUCAAUCAAGUAGUUAACUCCUUACCCUGUGGAAGUCUGGGAGCGUAUGGAUAAACAUAUUUUACAAACCAUUGUUUUUGAUAAGGUCCAAGUCAUCUAGAAUGUGCAUAGCAAGCUGGGAGGGAGCGGGCAGUAGUGGCUUUAAGGUUCUGAGCUGCAAGUUGCCCUCAAAGGCUGCCAUUGUAAAGCCUUGCUCAUGGUGUCAUUGUUGCUGUGUAGGGCCAUAAUCCACACUUAGCCAGCACUUAACUUUAGGACCUUCAGUAAGUAACCCCCCCAAAUUCCCCCUAUCAACCUUUUCUGUUUCAUAAUGGUAGGCGUACUCCAAAUGUUACCUUCCUGUUCCUAUGCUGAAUGUACUGUAUGCAAGUAAUCAUGAUUUUGCAUCCAGGCCAAGCUAAAUUCUUGAAGAGUAAUGAUAACAUAUAAGGCGACAAGAUAACUUAUUUUCAUUAGUAUGACAGGAAAAGGUAUUGCAUGGAUUCUGGGAAUGGAUCUUCGUAACUAUUCUCUUUUCUUAGGAAUGGCACACAAUUGUGCUUAUGCUUCAGCCUUCUCAAACAUUGUGCCAAAAUCAUUCCACAGUAUUUCUGGUCUACAGGUGGAGGCAGUGCCAGUGUUUUCUUUCUAAAAGUUAACCCUUCUCCUUUGUGUAGUAUUACUGAAUUAAAAGACACUAUUUUCAGCAGUAUGAUGUUUUGUUUUCUUUGUUAAACAAAAGAUGUCCUAUUUUGGAAGAUGUAUGGGAUUGAUUUUAUUUAAGGAAAACCUUGUAAUUUUGUAAAGUGGGCCUUAUUUACGAAAUAUAUAUUUCCUAUGUUUCCUCUUUGAUUUUGAGAAUAUUUUUUUGUGAGAUAAUGCAUUUCCUUUUUUUUUUUUCAUUGUUAUUGCACUCCUGGAGAGUACUUGUUUCUUGUAUUUUCCUGUCUAUUGUUUUAAUGCAAAACAUUUCUCAAACACCCAUGUUUAUGAUAUAAGGGGAUUGAUGCAAGCAAGAGGCGAGUGAGCAAGCGGGAUAGUGUGGGAAAGAGAGCGAAACGGCGGGGGUGGGUACAUUUGUGUGACGGUAUAGAAGAAUGAUGGUGAUGUGUGUUUUUUGGUUUUUUAUCAGAGCUAAGCAGGGUUGAGUUGUUUACCAUGUGCUGUUUCCUUUGCUUCCUUCAUUUCCACACACAUGAGAUAUAAUAAUCAGGGUUUUUGUUAUAACAUUGUGUGUAUACAGUGCGUUAGUAAGCUCUGCCAAAGAAAGCUGUGUUGAAGGCCUUCAGACAUGAUAACACACACACUUACACUCCCACUUAGCGCACACAUGCAAACAAAAUAACUUACACAAUUAUCCUCGGCUAUAACUGGAUACCCUCUCUCUGAGAUGGAAAAAAAAAACACACACUUAUGCUUUAUUUUUUAAAUUGCAACAUGCAUUACGAAAGAAAGACGUUGUUUGAGAGGGAUGUAGACAUGCAGAAAGAUGGACCUGUAUGUAUUAAGAUCAAAUAGGAAGGGUUUUAAGAUUUUGUAUUCAUGACAGACUGAGGGUCAGGGUGGGUGAUGCUGUUUUUUUGUUUUAGAAUAAAUACAUUGUGCAUGUUUUAACCUAACCAUGGCUGACACACUGCAUGUGGAUCUCUCAAUCUCUGCCAACAGGCUAUAUGUACAGCAGAAUUAUGUAUUCCAAUAAAAAAAUAAAAG